rnacentral:rRNA from 1 species
UACGUAGGGUGCGAGCGUUAAUCGGAAUUACUGGGCGUAAAGCGUGCGCAGGCGGUUCGUUAAGUUCGAUGUGAAAGCCCCGGGCUCAACCUGGGAACUGCAUUGGAAACUGGCGAGCUUGAAUGCGGCAGAGGGGGGUGGAAUUCCGCGUGUAGCAGUGAAAUGCGUAGAGAUGCGGAGGAACACCGACGGCGAAGGCAGCCCCCUGGGCCGACAUUGACGCUCAGGCACGAAAGCGUGGGGAGCAAACAGG